AAAAAAGAUAAGCUAUCUAAGCUAAUGGGCUCAUACCUCAUUUAUGAGAAGAAAAAAUUUCUCUCUUUUU
rnacentral:tRNA from 1 species